rnacentral:rRNA from 1 species
CAAUAGCGUAUAUUAAAGUUGUUGCGGUUAAAAAGCUCGUAGUUGGAUUUCUGCCGAGGACGACCGGUCCGCCCUCUGGGUGAGUAUCUGGCUCGGCCUGGGCAUCUUCUUGGAGAACGUAGCUGCACUUGACUGUGUGGUGCGGUAUCCAGGACUUUUACUUUGAGGAAAUUAGAGUGUUUCAAGCAGGCUUACGCCUUGAAUACAUUAGCAUGGAAUAAUAAGAUAGGACCUCGGUUCUAUUUUGUUGGUUUCUAGAGCUGAGGUAAUGAUUAAUAGGGAUAGUUGGGGGCAUUCGUAUUUAACUGUCAGAGGCGAAAUUCUUGGAUUUAUGAAAGACGAACUUCUGCGAAAGCAUUUGCCAAGGAUGUUUUCAUUAA